ensembl:lncRNA
CAACUGGGUAGCUCAGCGGAUUGAGAGCCAGGCCUAGAGACAGAAGGUCCUGGGUUCAAAUCGGACCUCAGAUACUUCCCAGCUGUGUGACUCUGAUAGACAGAAAACAGCUGUUUUAAAUCUCAGCAACAGGACUCUAAAGUCCUGGCUGGAAGAACUGUUUCUAAAUAUCCUUUCCCUUAAGGAACAACUUCCUGGAUUAGAAAAAAAAACCCUGUGGAAAGUUUGUUGCUUUGCCCUGCUCCCCACGUGUUUUGUGAAAUUACAAAAUAUACAUAUAAAAAUGAGUACUACAUUCUUUGACAAUUAUAUGGCAGCUGAAGAAGUAGGGGCAUUGAGGAAUGAAGGAUACCUCCAAAUUUUUAUAUUAAUAGGUACUGUCAUUUUUGUACUCCUCAAUACUAUAUUUAGAGAUGAAAAAAUAAAAAAUAUUGAGGAUAAAAUAAAACAAAAUGAGGAUAAAAUAAAACAAAAUGAGGAUAAAAUAAAACAAAAUGAGGAUAAAAUAAAACAAAAUGAGGAUAAAAUAGAAAAUAUUGAGGAUAAAAUAGAAAAUGUUGAGGAUAAAAUAGAAAAAAAUGAGGAUAAAAUAGAAAAUGUUGAGGAUAAAAUAGAAAAUAUUGAGGAUACAAUAGAAAAAAUUGAGGAUAAAAUAGAAAAUGUUGAGGAUAAAAUAGAAAAAAUUGAGGAUAAAAUAGGAAAUAUUGAGAAUAAAAUAGGAAAUAUUGAGGAUAAAAUGGGAAAUAUGGAAGAUAAAAUAGGAAAAAUUGAGGAUAAAAUGCAAGCCCAAUUAGAAGAUCUAAAAAGUUUCUUACAGGAUCAAUUGACAAACAACCACUCUACCAGAAAUAGACCUGUUUCUGAACCUUUGAAUGAGGAAAUUUCCUUCCCUGAAAUAGAGAUGGAAAGCACCUUUCCUAUAGCCAAGUUAACAGACUGCUUCUCUCGUGUAGUGCAAAUCUUGUCUGAAUUUAAUCCCCAAAACCCUUCCCCGGCAAUCCCAGAUUCUCAUGUUCCUUCUCCUACAGAAAACCAAAUUCCAAUGCAAGAGAGAUCUUGUCCCCCUAGAAAAACCUGUCCUUGUCAAACUGACCCACAGGUGCAAAAUUCAACUAGAGGCCUGUUUCCUCUAAGAGAAGUACCUGAAAUAGGACGAAAUGGGGAUGUGGUGACUUUAAGACAUAGGAUACCGUUUACUCCCCAAGAAAUAAAUGAAUUUACACAAAAUAUUCCCACAUAUGAACAAGAUCCUUUUCUAGUAACAAAAAAGAUGGGAGACAUAUUUUUUCAGUAUAAUCCGUCUUACAAGGACGUUGAGAGCUUACUACAGGCUUUUUUAAGUGAACGUGAAAAAAAUAAAAUAAUUGCUCAUGUCAACAAAACCAGGGGGCGUAAUGCAGCACAUUGGCCAUCUCAGGAUCCCGAAUGGGACUAUAACAAUCCUGAUGAUUAUCUACAACUAUACCGUUGUAGAGAGGCCAUCCUCACGUCCAUGAAGGAAUGUGCAGACAAUACAGAUAAGUGGAUGGAACUGGAAAAAAUUAAGCAAAAGGCCGAAGAAACACCCUCUAGAUUUAUGGACAGAAUUAUGGAGUUUGGGGACAGAUACUUAGAUUGGGACUUAACUAAAGAGAGUAGUAUAAGACAAGCUAGAAGAAUCUUUGUAAACAAUUCUUGCAAAGCAAUUAAAAAUUAUUUCAAAACACAAUGCCCAAGAUGGUCAGAUAUGGACCUUGAAGAAUUGCGAAAAACAGCUAUAUAUGUUUUAAAGGGAAACGAAGAAAAGGAGAAAGAAAAUGAUGAUGACAUGGAGGAAAUGAAGAAAAAAAUGAGAUAUUUAAUAGAUAGGAUAACUAAAUUAGAAAGUGGGCAGGGUAAUGAACCAACGACAAUUGCCCCUCUCCAGAAAUCCAAUUAUCAAUCCAUU